rnacentral:rRNA from 1 species
UACGUAGGGUGCGAGCGUUGUCCGGAAUUAUUGGGCGUAAAGAGCUCGUAGGCGGUGUGUCACGUCGGCCGUGAAAACCUGCAGCUUAACUGUGGGCGUGCGGUCGAUACGGGCAUCACUGGAGUUCGGCAGGGGAGACUGGAAUUCCUGGUGUAGCGGUGGAAUGCGCAGAUAUCAGGAGGAACACCGAUGGCGAAGGCAGGUCACUGGGCCGCAACUGACGCUGAGGAGCGGAAAGCAUGGGGAGCGAACAGG